AUUGCUUCUCGGCCUUUUAGCUUAGAUCAGGUGUAGUUUCUGUUCUUAUCAGUUUAAUAUCUGAUAUGUCUUUUGGGUGGCACAGUGGUGUCGCAGAAGAGGUGCGGUCUUACAAUGGCAGAGACCCGAGUUUGAUCUUGACUACGAUUGCUAUCUGUAUAGAGUUGAUACAGGUGCACAACCUUU